GAGCACGUAGGUGGGUUUGUAAGUCAGACGUGAAAGCCUUCUGUUCAACGGAAGAAUUGCAUCUGAAACUACAAACCUUGAGUGUAGGAGGGGAGAAUGGAACUUCUGGUGGAGCGGUGAAAUGCGUAGAUAUCAGAAGGGACGCCGGCGGCGAAAGCGAUUCUCUGGCCUAUUACUGACACUCAGUGUGCGAAAGCUAGGGGAGCAAACGGGAUUAGAUACCCCGGUAGUCCUAGCCGUAAACGAUGGGCACUAAGUAGAGGGAAUUACCGAUGUUCUCUCUGCCGUAGCUAACGCAUUAAGUGCCCCGCCUGGGGAGUACGGCCGCAAGGCUAAAACUCAAAAGAAUUGACGGGGGCUCGCACAAGCGGUGGAGCAUGUGGCUUAAUUCGAUGCAACGCGAAAAACCUUACCGGGGCUUGACAUGGUAGAAGUAGGAACCCGAAAGGGUAACGAACGGUAUCCAGUCCGUGACUAUCACAGGUGUUGCAUGGCUGUCGUCAGCUCGUGUCGUGAGACGUUGGGUUAAGUCCCCUAACGAGCGAAACCCUUGUUUUUAGUUGCCAGCGGGUUGUGCCGGGCACUCUAGAAAGACUGCCGUCGUCAAGACGGAGGAAGGUGGGGAUGACGUCAAGUCAUCAUGGCCCUUAUGCCCCGGGCUGCACACGUGCUACAAUGGCCGGUACAAACGGAAGCGAAGCCGAGAGGUGAAGCGAAUCC
rnacentral:rRNA from 1 species